UCCUUUGCCUCUCUCUCUCUCUCUCUUCCCUUUUUCUUGCAAAAACCCUAGCCACCGCCUAUCUCUCCUUUUCUCUCUAGUCUAAAAAUGGUAACUAUGCAGAGCAAGUGUAAGAUGCAUAGCUUUACAGCGUUAUCUACGUGCAAUGAAUUAAUUCAAAGGUUGUUUUUACCCAGAUCUUUCCAAAAUCGAGUAUGAUCCAGGCUCCAGUUCUAUGCCUCGUGGCUGAUACGCGAGGGUGACAUCUUUCGGUCAUUCUGGGUGAGCUACUUAGUCAACCAUGGCCCCUGAAGGACUCUCUUAUUUAAUUCUAUUUUUUUAUUCGACAGACAGUAUGUAGCCUUCGGGUAUUUUCAGACUUUUAUUCCAGACUAUAUUUAGCAUCUUGUACCCUUGACCAGAUUUUGGGGUUGUCGUGACAUUUCUAGUUUAUAAUAAGUAUUUAAGACUUGAUAACUUA